GUGUUUUAGCUGGUCGACCUGUCCAAGGCUCAGGACAUUGAGUCUGGUGAUGGCACUACGUCGGUGGUGGUGAUCGCAGGAGCUCUAUUAGACGCCUGCUCCAAGCUGCUACAGAAAGGCAUCCACCCGACCACCAUUUCAGAGUCAUUCCAGAAGGCGGUGGAAAAGGGUGUGGAGAUCCUGACCUCCAUCAGCCAGCCGGUGAGACUCUGCUCAACAGCGCCACCACAUCACUGUGCUCCAAAGUGAUGUUCGCAUAGUCGAGAUUUAGUUCCAACAUUCCCCCAAGAAUGUCUGCUAAAGUUGAUGGUAAACAAGUGGAUCUGAUCAUCUCCUCUACUGCUGUAUCAGACUCUGCUCUAUACUAUUGUGCUCUGGUGCCCACAGUGACAGGAAAUCCAGCUGCACU